UGAGCAAUCUGCCCUUCUCAUCGGAAUAAGCGUUGGAAACGACGUCUAAUGCCGAAUACGACCUCCUUUCGCAUGAUCGGAGGUGGAAAGCUCCGGCGGAGAAGGAUGAGCUCGCGGCCUAUCAGCUAGUUGGUGUGGGUAAUGGCCCCACCAAGGCGACGACGGGUAGCCGGCCUGAGAGGGUGACCGGCCACACUGGGACUGAGACACGGCCCAGACUCCGUACGGGAGCAG
rnacentral:rRNA from 1 species